rnacentral:rRNA from 1 species
AGUAGUUUGAUCAGUGGCUACAGGACAACGCUGGCGGUGUGCUUCACACAUGCAAGUCGAACGAGGUAGCAAUACCUAGUGGCGGACGGGUGAGUAACGCGUGGGAAUCUGCCUUGAGAUGGGGGAUAACGAGCCGAAAGGCUCGCUAAUACCGCAUAUGCCGAAAGGUGAAAGGAGUAAUCCGUCUUAAGAUGAGCCCGCGUCCGAUUAGCUAGUUGUGGGGUAAAGGCCUACCAAGGCGACGAUCGGUAGCUGGUCUGAGAGGAUGAUCAGCCACAAUGGGACUGAGACACGGCCCAUACUCCUACGGGAGGCAGCAGUGGGGAAUUUUACGCAAUGGGGAAACCCUGACGUAGCGACACCGCGUGAGCGAAGAAGCCCUUUGGGGUGUAAAGCUCUGUCAGCUGGAACGAAAAAAUGACGGUACCAGCAGAGGAAGCAUCGGCUAACUACGUG